CCAAGCUCAUGGUUGAGAACUACAUGACUGACCCGGCUCACAUCGAGGUCUUGUCUGGGCGGGUGUCCAGAGAUCUUAAUAGAGUUUUGAGGACCCAACAGCAGAACGUGGAUAUCAGCCUCUCCAACGACUUGAACCGCCACCUUCCUGGCGUGGUGCGUUCUCCAGGGAUUUGGUUCUCCAGGGUUAUUGGUCAUCCCUUUGAGCCAUUCAGUGUGUGGCACCCCUAUCAACCCCACUCAGAAUCCAAACUUUUCAGUUAAUUACCAACAUCUAUCUGAGUUCUCUCCCUACCAAAACCAUUUGUAGCAAGCCAUAAGGAAUGCAUGCUGGACAACCUCUUCUUGGUACUGGCCAAGACAGAGCUCAGUUAUUUAGGCUUCCAUUUAAUUGCUACUCCCAAUCACUACAUCUCUGAACAUUUAGCUUCAACCAACCUGCAAACUAAAAUAGACCCAUUCAAUGAUUUAGCUGAACUCAUCGAGAUAGCAAAUGCUGUCCUUCAACUAAAUGGGGAAAGAAGCUCUGUUCCUCCCACUGACCAUCUUCUUUUCCUUCGCAGCUGCAAGUUGAAUGACUUGAAGAUGCUUCUUGACACAGUCAACAGAAAGUUGGCCCAAACUCUAACUCUUGAAUCAGAAAAUCUUGGAUAAGAUCUCAGUGUCUUGGAUUCAUCUCCUCUGAACCUCAGUGGGAUAUUUAGUGUCCUUUUCAGGGAGGUGGAAAUCUUGCCAUAAUUUCUAGUUCUUUGGUGGGCAUUAUUUGCACAGAGAUGAGUCUUGUUUCUCCAGGGCUCUCUCUUCAUGAUUUCCUAUGCUUGCUUCUCUUACUUUGGUAAUAAAAAAAUUAUCCUCUGACUACAA